UAAAUUCUCUGCUGCCAGUCCCCUUCUCAUUAUCUGCACUUGCCCAGACCUAGGACAGGUAACAUAGGGAGAAACCAGCUCGGAGAGAGAGAGAGGGAUGAGAUGGAACAAAGUUCGACCACUUACCUUCUGGGAAAUGGCUGCAGUUUGUCUCCAGGGUGGGAAGGAGCAGUCACAAUCUUUCCUGCACGCCUCAGGGUCCUGAAGUAUCUGUGACGUUGUUUCUUGGGUAUAACUGAAGUUGAAAAUUUGGUUUCUUUUAGCAAACCCCAUCCCACCACUGUUGUGUGUUUCCUGGUACCAGUAUUGUAAAGUAGUAUUGUAUUCAUUUUAAGACAAUGGGGACUAAUGAGUGUUUAUCACCACUGACCUGAAAGUACUUUUUUUAUUGAUCAAAUACAAAUAGUAUAAAGAAAAAAAUAUUGAAUGGAUAUACAUGAGUGGAUGAUUAUGAACAGUAUAUGCAUGUAUACAUGUCUAUAUACAGUGUAUAUACAGCGUGCAGGAUUUAUAUUGACAGUGACAGUGCAUGAUGAUAUGUACAUGUUAAAAACAGUGCAUUUUAAACUGUAAAAAUAUAAACUAUAAUGGAAAUAAGUGGUUGUUUUGGUGUUAUAGGGUUAUUAACACUGUAUGACUGAUUUAAGUGUUCUCCAGAGUGAUGGCCUGUGGGAAGAAACUGCUCUUGUGUCUGGUUGUUUUGGAGCACAGUGCUCUGUAGCGCCAACCAGAGGGGAGAAGUUGGAAGCUUAUCAAACCUGCAGUAAAACACAUUCAGGUAGUCGGCCUGUUGAUGGGUCACUACAGUGUGGGGGUCUCCUGUAGUUGGUGAUGUCCUGCAGGCCUCUCAACACUGAUGCUGGGUCGUUAGUCAAAGCAUGCCUGUAAUUCCAGCUUUGCCUUGUUGGUCCAUCUCCUCAGUCUUGGCCACAAGCUUAGCAGAUUUUAGUUUCUGCCAGUAAGUCCCAAAGCUGGCUGGGGGUCAGAGUGAUAGGCGUCCUUUAUUACAGUGUAUAGCAAUGGUCCAGUGUGUGCAGGACCUUUACUUGUAAUUGAGUAUUUUUAAAUUGUGGUAUUGCUACUAAAGUACAGCAUCUGAAUACUUCUUACACACCUGCAACUACUGUAAUUAAUAGUAAAUAACUGGCUGACUGAUAGCCAGACACAUGCGGACAAUAUAGCUAUAAAAAAAAAUAUUAAUAAGCACCAAAAUAGAAUGUCAAACAAGUCAUCGAUCAUGUAAAGGUGGCGGAGCAGAGAGCUGCCUUGCUCGCCCUGGGAAGUACAGAUAGUAGAAGAGAGUGCUGAGAAACAGCACCCCCGGGACCGUGGGACUGUCUGUCUGUAGCCUGUGUUGAACAUGCUCCUGUUUGUAACAAAGAAUGAUUUUCUAGUAUAAGCUGCAAUGUAACCAAUUUCUUGUCAGACAUGGGGAC